GACACGAUGGCCGAGUGGUUAAGGCGACAGACUCGAAUUGUUUCAUCUCUUUCUUGCUAUCUGUUGGGUUCGCCCGCACAGGUUCAAAUCCUGUUCGUGUCG
rfam:Exophiala oligosperma strain CBS 72588 unplaced genomic scaffold supercont1.9, whole genome shotgun sequence.